CAGGCUUAACACAUGCAAGUCGAGGGGCAGCAUGGUCUUAGCUUGCUAAGGCCGAUGGCGACCGGCGCACGGGUGAGUAACACGUAUCCAACCUGCCGUCUACUCUUGGACAGCCUUCUGAAAGGAAGAUUAAUACAAGAUGGCAUCAUGAGUCCGCAUGUUCACAUGAUUAAAGGUAUUCCGGUAGACGAUGGGGAUGCGUUCCAUUAGAUAGUAGGCGGGGUAACGGCCCACCUAGUCUUCGAUGGAUAGGGGUUCUGAGAGGAAGGUCCCCCACAUUGGAACUGAGACACGGUCCAAACUCCUACGGGAGGCAGCAGUGAGGAAUAUUGGUCAAUGGGCGAGAGCCUGAACCAGCCAAGUAGCGUGAAGGAUGACUGCCCUAUGGGUUGUAAACUUCUUUUAUAAAGGAAUAAAGUCGGGUAUGGAUACCCGUUUGCAUGUACUUUAUGAAUAAGGAUCGGCUAACUCCGUGCCAGCAGCCGCGGUAAUACGGAGGAUCCGAGCGUUAUCCGGAUUUAUUGGGUUUAAAGGGAGCGUAGAUGGAUGUUUAAGUCAGUUGUGAAAGUUUGCGGCUCAACCGUAAAAUUGCAGUUGAUACUGGAUAUCUUGAGUGCAGUUGAGGCAGGCGGAAUUCGUGGUGUAGCGGUGAAAUGCUUAGAUAUCACGAAGAACUCCGAUUGCGAAGGCAGCCUGCUAAGCUGCAACUGACAUUGAGGCUCGAAAGUGUGGGUAUCAAACAGGAUUAGAUACCCUGGUAGUCCACACGGUAAACGAUGAAUACUCGCUGUUUGCGAUAUACUGCAAGCGGCCAAGCGAAAGCGUUAAGUAUUCCACCUGGGGAGUACGCCGGCAACGGUGAAACUCAAAGGAAUUGACGGGGGCCCGCACAAGCGGAGGAACAUGUGGUUUAAUUCGAUGAUACGCGAGGAACCUUACCCGGGCUUAAAUUGCAGAUGAAUUACGGUGAAAGCCGUAAGCCGCAAGGCAUCUGUGAAGGUGCUGCAUGGUUGUCGUCAGCUCGUGCCGUGAGGUGUCGGCUUAAGUGCCAUAACGAGCGCAACCCUUGUUGUCAGUUACUAACAGGUUCCGCUGAGGACUCUGACAAGACUGCCAUCGUAAGAUGUGAGGAAGGUGGGGAUGACGUCAAAUCAGCACGGCCCUUACGUCCGGGGCUACACACGUGUUACAAUGGGGGGUACAGAGGGCCGCUACCACGCGAGUGGAUGCCAAUCCCCAAAACCUCUCUCAGUUCGGACUGGAGUCUGCAACCCGACUCCACGAAGCUGGAUUCGCUAGUAAUCGCGCAUCAGCCACGGCGCGGUGAAUACGUUCCCGGGCCUUGUACACACCGCCCGUCAAGCCAUGGGAGCCGGGGGUACCUGAAGUGCGUAACCGCGAGGAGCGCCCUAGGGUAAAACUGGUGACUGGGGCUAAGUCAUAAC
rnacentral:rRNA from 1 species